rnacentral:lncRNA from 1 species
UUAACAAAUAUAUUUAAUAUAACCUGAACAUCAACAAAACAUAACAAACUUAUCCCAAGAGAAUAUGGAAAACAAUCAACCAAACUAAAACAACAUAAUUAGAAAUGGAAAUAACAAUAACGUAAUAUAUAAAAAUUAAAAAUAACAUUAAAAUAGAAUAAUAACAAAACUCUGAAAAUUUAAGAUAGCAAAUAGUUGAUUAACAAUUUUAAAAUAAUAAUAAUAAAUAAAUGAACAUCAAAUCGUAAAAUAAUGCUAAUAUUAAAACUAUAAUAAACACAAAUAUUAAUUGACUUUUACAACUACAUUAAACUAAAAAAACAAAACAAGCUACAUAUAAUAAACAGAAAACAUAAAAGAGUUGGGAAUAAAAUAAAACAACGCUAAGAGAAAAAAUUUACCUGGUUCUGGGCAGCGAACCGGAACUAUGAGUUUAAAGGAGACGACUCCACCUCCUCAACUCGAAAAAAUCACAAAAAACACUUUUAAAAUUUUUGAACUAUGGAACCAAGAAUUCUCAAAAUUUUAAGAGUAUUCUUUUGUAUUCCCCUCCCUUAAAAUAUUGAAUGAAGUGGGUUUAUAUAGAAACCCAAAAAUCCUCAAAAAAGAUGAAAUACCGAUGUGGGACUUUUGCAAAAUUGAAAAUUGUUAGAGAAAAGAUGUGGGAAAGGAAGAAUUUUUUUUAUUUUUUUGUAUUUGACUCAAAAUGUAUUAAUUUUAAAACCAUCGGACCAAAAUUUGGUGUCAACAACUUGCCCCUUUGUUUGAUUAGGAUCGAUGAAAGAGGUCCUGGUCAACCAAAGUUGACGAACCAAAUUUGAUUUGAUAAACAUUGAACAAAACAAUUGAGACGUUAGUAGAACUUUUGAGCAAGACUCCACAUUGAUCGACUAGGAUGAAAAUAAUAAACAAAAGACGGAGAUUGAUUGCAAAUUGAGAAAAUUCACAUACCCUUUGAUGUUACUUGAAAAAUUGCACAAUGAAUGUGAUGUACUUUUUGAAAGAAGGAUGAUGCGAAUAACAUGUUACUUUGAAUGAGGUGACAACCCAGCGUGUCUCGUUGAAAGACGGACAACCCAACUUGAACUUAACAUGUCAUUUGAAGGUAGAUGAUGACCCAAUCCUAAAUCUUUGAAAGGCGGACGACCCAACUUGAACUUAAUAUGUCAUUUGAAGGGAGAUGACAACCCAAUCUUGUCUCUUUGAAAGGCGGACGACCCAACUUGAACAUGCCAUUUGAAGGGAGAUGACAACCCAAUCCUGUCUUUUUGAAAGGCGGACCACCCAAUCUUGAACUUAAUAUAUCAUUUGAAGGGAGAUGACAACCCAAUCUUGUCUCUUUGAAAGGCGGACGACCCAACUUGAACUUAAUAUGUCAUUUGGAGAGAGAUGGCGACCCAAUCCUAUCUCUUUGAAAGGCGGACGACCCAAUCUUGAACUUAAUAUGUCAUUUGAAGGGAGAUGACAACCCAAUCUUGUCUCUUUGAAAGGCGGACUACCCAACUUGAACUUAAUAUGUCAUUUGGAGGGAGAUACAACCCAAUCUUGUCUCUUUGAAAGGCGGACGACCCAACUUGAACUUAACAUGUCAUUUGAAGGGAGAUGACGACCCAAUCCUGUUUCUUUGAAAGGCGGACGACCCAAUCGUGAACUUAAUAUGUCAUUUGAAGUGAGAUGACAAUCCAAUCUUGUCUCUUUGAAAGCGGACGACCCAAGUUGAACUUAACAUGUCAUUUGAAGGGAGAUGACAACCCAAUCUUGUCUCUUUGAAAGGCGGACGACCCAACUUGAACUUAACAUGUCAUUUGAAGGGAGAUGACGACCCAAUCUUGUCUCUUUGAAAGGCGGACGACCCAACUUGAACUUAACAUGUCAUUUGGAGGGAGAUGACAACCCAAUCUUGUCUCUUUGAAAGGCAGACGACCAAACUUGAACUUAAAAUGUCUAUCACAAAAUCUGAAAUAUCAAUGUUAGUAGCAAAUAUAACAUAAGAUGAUGUCAGUUUGAAAGGUAUGACGACCCAAAUUAAAAAGAUGUCAUUUUGAAGGGUAUGACUACCGAAAAAUAAAAGAUGUCAUUUUGAAGGGUAUGACUACCCAAAAUGCAAUUUAAACUUUGAAACGGUCCACAAAGUUGUUUGGACAAAUAUCAACAAUGAAACGGUCCACAAAGUUGGUAUGGACAAAUAUGGGGCACAAAAAUAAAAUGAUGUCGGUUUGAAAGGUAUGAUGAACCAAAUUAAAAAGAUGUCAUUUUGAAGUGUAUGACUACCGAAAAAUAAAAGAUGUCAUUUUGAAGGGUAUGACUAUCGAAAAUGCAAUCUAAACUUUGAAACGGUCCACAAAGUUGUUUGGACAAAUAUCAACAAUGAAACGGUCCACAAAGUUGGUAUGGACAAAUUCAACAAUGAAACGGUCCACAAAGUUGUUUGGACAAAUAUCAACAAUGAAACAUAUUUUAAUUUGGUUAGCACCAACAAUAGUAUUGUACAAAAAUUUCUCACAAUUUUUCUCUUUCAAUUGAAAUUGACAUCGAGGUAAUUCCUAUGGAUUCAAGUGGUACCUCAAUUGUACUUAAGUAACGACAAGAUUCUUUCAUCUUGCUACAAGCAAAAUCUUUGAACUAGACCUAACAUCAUGUUUCAAGAGCCCUCACAAGAAAUAAACUUUCAAUUUGUGCACAUUUAAAGUGUUUUGAUUUGGGAAUAUCUGGAAAAGCACACUCACACUCAACAAAAAAUUUCAAUGCAUGCAAUUGUGAUACCAUAGGCUUGACCUUCAUGUAAAUCUCCACUAAUCUUGAAUAUUUGAAUUGAAAUCAUGUAGGGCUUGUUAAUAGCUUGUAAUGUUGGAUUAGAAAUGGGUAGGAUACUCAUUUGGGAUUAAAGUGACUUAUUCUUUCUUGAGCAUUGCACUAAAUAGAUGCUUUUAACAUUUAUUACGCUUUUAGCGUUUGAUUCUCUUUGUUGUCCCUUCCUUUUGCACUUUUGACUUCUUUGAAACUUUGUUUGUCUGAGUUUUCCCCCCUUUUGAAUUUUCUCCUUUUUUGUUUGGAGUGUUUUUGAAAUUUUACUUUCUUAAAUUGGUGGGGAAUUUUGAACCCUUUUUUUUUCUGAAGUCAUUUUUGUUUUCUUGACAUUCAGGAACUUUGAUAACUUUUGUCUUUGACAAAUUUGAACUUUGUAUCUUCUCUUAUAACUUGCAUGUCUUCAGUGCACUCAAGAAAGUCUGGUCAAAAGAUAGAUAUUGCGUAAAAGCACUCAGAAAGGUAUAGGCUAAGAUGUGGUUGUCCAAAGAAAAGGCUUAAGGAUCAAAGUGGGGACAUCUAAGGAUUAACAUCAUUUGGUAGGCUUUGAAAGGCUCAAACGGAUCAAAGAAGGCCUACAAUCAUUUUUCAAAUCAAACAUUACUCAGAAUUUCGCCUCAAUAACAUUUAGGUCAAGUUCUAGAUCAACAAUGCAAAAUAAUUGAAUUUGAUUCAAAACUCACCACACAAUGCACAUGAAACAAUGAAUCUGAUUUUGUUCUAAUCUUGAAUUUAUACAAGACAACAUUUUCAAGUGUAACAAAGUAUGGAUGAGAGGUACUAAAAGAAUCCAUGGUUUAACAAGAAGUCAAUCUUCUUUAUUGUACAAAUUAUUUUCACAUGCACACUUGAACUGUGUUAGCAUCCACCAAGUCAAAAAAAAUGAUUUAAAAAUUAUAAACAUUAAAAUAAAUAAAAAUAAAAGAUCUUUUGAAUAAAGAAAUACCGAACCCUCAAAGGGCUGCCUACGUAUCUCAAUGAUGAGAAUCAGGUUUGCGUAGUUCGUCCAAAUAUGACAUAAAAUUUAUAAACAACAAAUUACUUUUUGAAAGGAAAAAAAUGAGAAUAAAAAUCAAUGAGCCACAUUGAAAGGCGGGCAACCCGAAUUGAACAAAAUAUUUUUUAUUUACUAUUUAAAGAAAAUUUUACAAGGACGAAUGUAUCAGUGAGUUACAUUGAAGGGCGAACCACCUAAAUUUAACAAAAGUAACAAAAAUAAAAUAAUGAAAUAAUAAGUCACGUUGAAGAACGGACAACCCAAACUUAAAAAAUGUCAAUUAAACUAAUUUUUUCAACGGAGUAUAAUAAAAAUCAAAGAUAUACAAUGAAUGUGACAUCAUGUACAAAAAAUUAAUGCAAAAUAAAUAAACCAACUCGGAGUGAAGCCUCAUAAAUACUGGAGUCUGCGUACAAUCUUGAUGAAAAUUUUGAGGGCAUUCCUAAAAUUUUUUGCCCCUGUUUCAGCUUCGACAAACCUCCGAUAUUUAAUAUUGUAACAACUAUCUCCAUUAUAAAAUUUUGGAGACUUCCACAAAAAUUUUCCCCAGUUUCCGUUCUUAAAAUUUGAAAAACUUACGGGGAAGAUGACCGAGCCUUAAUGGUGCCUACGUAUCCCGUUGAAGCAGGAAUCAGGUCAAACGUAGUUCCAACAGAUUGUAACUUGAAUAAAAACUGGACUUGAAUUAUGAAUAUUCUAAAAACUAGGUUAACAAAAGUGAUUUUAAAAUAAUGAACUAUUAUACAACAUAUUUACGUACAAUAAGUAUAUCACAUAACAUACAAACAAUUGUGUCAUGCUUAAUAUGAGGUUUUGGCUUCCCUCUAUACAAGAUAAUUAAAAGCGGGGUUUGUAUAUUGUGGAUAGGUGACCCAAGCGGACUACUUAGGUUGAGACAGUUAACGACUGUUGAUUAUCCAGUAGUCAACUACAUUCGUCAGGGUGCCCCGAGAAAAGCUUAGUUAACGAACGAUGCGAACCCACAUAAUCGCCCUUUAAGUAAAAAAGCAAAAUUAGGUGUCGUUUGACGGAAUAAAUGUGGUGCAUGCAAUGACAAUAUACAAAAAAUAAUAAAUCAAUAUUGAGUACAAUAUGCAAACAAUCAACAAAAUAUACAAGAUAUAAUGAAUAACACAAUAAAAGAAUAGUAUCCUCAAUUUGAAAAAUAAACCCAUAAUGGAUAGAACCUCUAUUUCCCCAGCAGGGUCGACAUUAUGUUGACAUCCUUUGAAUUGGGAGCAACGUCGUGGCGACUCAAUUAAAAAAGAGAAUUUGUUAAAAGAAUUUUUAAAACGGGUAAAAGAGGUUAAAAAGUGGUAAAAUGAGUUUAAAAGGAUUAAAGCGGGUUAAAGGGAAAAGGGAGUCGCCACCUAAUUUUUAGGAAAACUAGGAAACCGAUUAACUAGUUAACUUAAAAGAGUCUACGAAACCAAUUUAAUUCUAGGUAAGGGGUUCAAGUUAUUCCAAAGGGAAGAGGUUAGGCACCCUUCGAAAUCCACAACUGUGGUUCCCGACUGAGUUCAUUUUUUCAAAUUGAGGAUAUAACAAUAAUAUACAAGUAGUAUAAAUAUGCAAUAAACAAUAAUAAUAAAAUAAAACAAUAACAUGAGAAACGGCCUAAGGUUUGCCUAACAUCGAUAUAUACAAAAUAAUGAAUUGUAAAAUAUAAUUCGAACUCCUUUCGAAUAACUUCAAUGAAACAAGUUUUGGGUACCUGUAAACACACUUAGUAAUAGUGUUAGUAAUAAAUAAAAAUGAAUAAAAUUGAAUAUAUGAAAUUAAUAAUUUAAAAACAAAAAUCCGUCUUACUAACAUGGGAGGCAUUGGAAAUCGACAGUAAUUUCUUCAUCGGCCAAAUUUAACAAUAAAAAUAUUAACUUUAAUUAAAUUUUCGUCUUUUAAUAUUGGGAAGGCCUCCAAAACCGACGGAGAGUUUUUUCAUUGGCCAUUUUAACAAAUAUAUUUAAUAUAACCUGAACAUCAACAAAACAUAACAAACUUAUCCCAAGAGAAUAUGGAAAACAAUCAACCAAACUAAAACAACAUAAUUAGAAAUGGAAACAACAAUAACGUAAUAUAUAAAAAUUAAAAAUAACAUUAAAAUAGAAUAAUAACAAAACCUGAAAAUUUAAGAUAGCAAAUAGUUGACUAACAAUUUUAAAAUAAUAAUAAUAAAUAAAUGAACAUCAAAU